GAACAUAACGCGAAACGGGCUAAAAUAUCACUCCCAAGCAGCAGAGAAGACAUAAUUUGUGUUUUGCGGGUUACAGAAGAAUUCUGAUAUAUCUUUCCUCCGGGUCACGAUUGGCGUAAAAGCCUCGUCUAAGAUCCAUUUUACUGCCGCCGCAGAGAAGUGCCCUCUGGGGCUUAUAAAUUGGAAUACCUCGCUGGAAACGACGUUUGGAAAAUUCCAAAUCACCCUUACCGUACGGCGGGGGCAUGAUCAGCAGAUUGUGCCCCACAUUAAUAUUGGCGUUUAAAUAAGCAAGAUCCAAGGCGUUUAAAAGGAGAUUCGACCCACAUAACCUACAGCGAAGGCAUCACGUGGCAUGGCAGUCUAAACCUUAUUUUUUUAAGUGAUCGCUUAUCUAACCUAAAGCCCAACAACCAUGUUUUUCCGGGAAAUAAAGUAGAUGUCAGCCAGCUAAUUCCCGAAAAGAAUCAUACCUACACAAACCAAUAAGUGAUAAUCGCGCGCCUAAUGCUUUAAAUUUCCAAAUUCACCGGUUGGAAUCUGAAUUCCACGAUCCACAGUCCACUGGGUUCCAUUACCUAAUUCCAAUAAGCCGAAACGGUGAAGAAAAUUCGGUAUACCUUCGAUUUUGCCACGGAGACCUCGCGCUUGGAAAGCUAUGCCUUCCCAUAACUAAACCUGGAAGGCGACGUUCGUUUUUUUUGUAGAAUAAAGUAGAGUAAUAUAUAAAUCUAAUUAAGAAUAUGUAAAGAAAUUUUGUAAAGCGGUUCAAGAUUCCAGUUAGGUGACGUUAUCGGUUUCGGGCCUCAGAAUUUCAA